rnacentral:rRNA from 1 species
GGUUAAGUGAAUAAGGGCGCACGGUGGAUGCCUUGGCACUAGGAGCCGAUGAAGGACGGGACUAACACCGAUAUGCUUUGGGGAGCUGUAAGUAAGCUAUGAUCCAGAGAUUUCCGAAUGGGGGAACCCAAUAUCUUUUAUAGGAUAUUACUUUUCAGUGAAUACAUAGCUGAUUAGAGGUAGACGCAGAGAACUGAAACAUCUUAGUACCUGCAGGAAGAGAAAGAAAAUUCGAUUCCCUGAGUAGCGGCGAGCGAAACGGGAAGAGCCCAAACCAACAAGCUUGCUUGUUGGGGUUGUAGGACUCCAAUAUGGUAGUCUGUUAGUAUAGUUGAAGGAUUUGGAAAAUUCCGCUAAAGAGGGUGAAAGCCCCGUAGACGAAAUGCUAACAACACCUAGGAGGAUCCUGAGUACGGCGGAACACGAGAAAUUCCGUCGGAAUCCGCGGGGACCAUCCCGCAAGGCUAAAUACUCCCUAGU